UACGGAGGGUGCAAGCGUUGUCCGGAAUCACUGGGCGUAAAGGGCGCGUAGGCGGCUCAUGAAGGCUGUGGUGAAAGUCCGGGGCUCAACCUCGGAUCGGCCGUGGCGACUCGUGGGCUGGAGCACUGUAGAGGCGGGUGGAAUUCCGGGUGUAGCGGUGGAAUGCGUAGAGAUCCGGAAGAACACCAGUGGCGAAGGCGGCCCGCUGGGCAGUGGCUGACGCUGAGGCGCGACAGCGUGGGGACGCA
rnacentral:rRNA from 1 species